rnacentral:rRNA from 1 species
GGGGCAGCGGGGUUGUAGCAAUACAACUGCCGGCGACCGGCGCACGGGUGAGUAACACGUAUGUAACCUGCCCUCUGCAGGGGGAUAAGCGGAAGAAAUUCCGUCUAAUACCGCAUAAUACAAUUUGGAGACAUCUCCGGGUUGUCAAAGGAGUGAUCCGGCAGAGGAUGGACAUGCGGCGCAUUAGCUAGUCGGCGGGGUAACGGCCCACCGAGGCUACGAUGCGUAGGGGUUCUGAGAGGAAGGUCCCCCACACUGGUACUGAGACACGGACCAGACUCCUACGGGAGGCAGCAGUGAGGAAUAUUGGUCAAUGGGCGGAAGCCUGAACCAGCCAAGUCGCGUGAGGGAAGACGGUCCUAUGGAUUGUAAACCUCUUUUGCAGGGGAGCAAGGCGCGGUACGUGUACCGCGAAGGAGAGUACCCUGAGAAAAAGCAUCGGCUAACUCCGUGCCAGCAGCCGCGGUAAUACGGAGGAUGCGAGCGUUAUCCGGAUUUAUUGGGUUUAAAGGGUGCGCAGGCGGACUGUUAAGUCAGCGGUAAAAUGUCGGUGCUCAACACCGGCCGGCCGUUGAAACUGGCAGCCUUGAGUGAGCGAGAAGUACGCGGAAUGCGUGGUGUAGCGGUGAA